UGGGGAAUAUUGCGCAAUGGGGGAAACCCUGACGCAGCGACGCCGUGUGAGGGAAGAAGGCUUUCGGGUCGUAAACCUCUGUCAGAAAGGAAGAACCUUCCAUAUCCGAAUAGGGUAUGGGACUGACGGUACUUUCAAAGGAAGCGCCGGCUAACUCCGUGCCAGCAGCCGCGGUAAUACGGAGGGCGCAAGCGUUAAUCGGAAUCACUGGGCGUAAAGCGCGCGUAGGCCGCUUUGUAAGUCGGGCGUGAAAGCCCUCGGCUCAACCGGGGAACUGCGUUAGAUACUGCGAGGCUUGAGUCCUGGAGAGGGUGGCGGAAUUCCGGGUGUAGGAGUGAAAUCCGUAGAUAUCCGGAGGAACACCGGUGGCGAAGGCGGCCACCUGGACAGGUACUGACGCUGAGGCGCGAAAGCGUGGGGAGCAAACAG
rnacentral:rRNA from 1 species